GAUGAACGCUGGCGGCGUGCCUAAUACAUGCAAGUCGAGCGAACAGAUGAGGAGCUUGCUCCUCUGACGUUAGCGGCGGAAGGGUGAGUAACACGUGGAUAACCUACCUAUAAGACUGGGAUAACUUCGUGAAACCGGAGCUAAUACCGGAUAAUAUAUUGAACCGCAUGGUUCAAUAAUGAAAGACGGGUUUGCUGUCACUUAUAGAAGGAUCCGCGCCGCAUUAGCUAGUUGGUAAGGUAACGGCUUACCAAGGCAACGAUGCGUAGCCGACCUGAGAGGGUGAUCGGCCACACUGGAACUGAGACACGGUCCAGACUCCUACGGGAGGCAGCAGUAGGGAAUCUUCCGCAAUGGGCGAAAGCCUGACGGAGCAACGCCGCUUGAGUGAUGAAGGUGUUCGGAUCGUAAAACUCUGUUAUUAGGGAAGAACAAAUGUGUAAGUAACUAUGCGCGUCUUGACGGUACCUAGUCAGAAAGGCACGCCUAACUCCGUG
rnacentral:rRNA from 1 species